CUUGGAUGGAGGUGACCAAGGAGACCUGUGACAAAGCAAAUGGCAUGGCGAUUCGGUCCGGGCAGUUCCGCCUUAAGCAGUGCUAUUGCCAUUGGGCUCGCUGGCUGCGUGGUGGUAGGAUCGGAUGGCCCUUGACCUCUGGACUCCGCCACUCGGUAGUGGCCACCGCCAUGUCGCUGAACUGGGCGUGGACCGGCUGUAGCUGCAUGAGGAAUGUGACAGCCUGGACAUGCGGGGCACCACCCCGGAGCCUGACAUGGAGGUUAUCAGGUCUGACCCCGAGCUCAGCUUGACUAGAAGCAGGAAAGCUUGCUGCCAUUCAGUAUGGCAUUGGUUGAAAUGUGAGGUAUUUCAGUGAGGAUAGUGUUACAAUAGGUGAUCUAGUUGAAAGAUCAGUAGGAGUUUAUUGAAGCUAUAAAGGAGCUAGGUAUUACUUUUUUGGUUGCAAAGUUUGAUGGCAUUCUUGGGCUUGGAUCGCAAGAAAUUUUUGUUGG